GUGGGGAAUCUUCCGCAAUGGACGAAAGUCUGACGGAGCAACGCCGCGUGAGUGAUGAAGGUCUUCGGAUUGUAAAGCUCUGUUAAUCGGGACGAAAGAGCCUAGUGUGAAUAAUGCUAGGAAGUGACGGUACCGGAAUAGAAAGCCACGGCUAACUACGUGCCAGAAGCCGCGGUAAUACGUAGGUGGCAAGCGUUGUACGGAAUUAUUGGGCGUAAAGCGCGCGCAGGCGGAUCUGCCAGUCUGUCUUAAAAGGUCGGGGCUUAACCCCGUGAUGGGAUGGAAACUACAGAUCUAGAGUAUCGGAGAGGAAAGUGGAAUUCCUAGUGUAGCGGUGAAAUGCGUAGAUAUUAGGAAGAACACCAGUGGCGAAGGCGACUUUCUGGACGAAAACUGACGCUGAGGCGCGAAAGCCAGGGGAGCGAACGGGAUUAGAAACCCUGGUAGUCC
rnacentral:rRNA from 1 species